CUGUCGGUUUUGAUGAAGGAACUUGUGUGAUUUGCCUGGAGGAGUACAAAGAUAUGGAUGAUGUUGGUUCGUUGAAAUUUUGUGGCCACAAUUACCAUGUGAGCUGCAUCAAGAAAUGGCUAUCAAUGAAGAACUUGUGUCCAAUCUGCAAAGCUUCCGCUGUGGCUGAUAACAUGAAGGAAUAAAUUUCAAGUACCUUGUCAACCAUUUACAUUUUUUUUUUAAUUAUCCAAAACUAUUUACAAAAUCAGAGUGUCAACUUUGUUUUAUGUGCUUCUUAGCUGCCUGAUUCUAUUCUUUCUCAUUGAAUAUUGUUGGCCUUAUCGUUGAACCCAUUCAGAAUUUUCCACCAUUGAA